GCUAGCGUACAGAAGUGGUCAUAACUGCCAUCACUUGAAAUGAUGUGUGACGGCUUGUAUCCGUCUCGUGAGUUCGAAUCUUACCGCUAGUGCCA
rnacentral:tRNA from 1 species